AUGACCUGUGCUUCACUGUUCUUUUGUGAACAAAAAUUCCUUACUUUUACUUUUUAAAUCUAUGGUAGGACCUCCCAGAGCAGGGCUCCACAACUCCCCGGCCACAGACUGGUACCAGUCCACGGUCUGUGAGGAACCACGCCACACAGGAGUAGGUGCGCAGCAGGCAAGCCAGGGAAGCUUCAUCUGUAUUUACAGCCACUCCUUAUGGUUCAUAUUACAGCCUCUACUCUGUCUCCAGUCAGAUCAGUGAUAGCAUUAGAUACUCAUAGGAGCAUGAACCCUGUUGUGAACUGCCCAUCUGAGGGAUCUAGGUUGUGUGCUUCGUAUGAGAAUCUAAUGCCUGAUGAUCUGUCACUGUCUCACUUUGCCCCCAGAAGGGACCAUCUAGUUGCAGAAAAAUCAGCUCAGAGCUUCCACUGAUUCUACAUUAUGUAGAUAAUGUGAUUGUCCACUAUUACGGAGUUGAUCAAUCACGCCAAGGGCAGAAAAACCAAUGGAUGUCAAGACCUGACUUGGACCAAUGAUCCUUCUCUACAGACUCAAACUCUCAGCCAGAUGUUUGUUACGAUGAUGCUUUAUAUACAUGUUCAUCUCCAGCUGACAUGGGAGACGAAAACCCUACUUUUAUUUUUUUUUAGGUUCCACGAAG
rnacentral:lncRNA from 10 species